rnacentral:tRNA from 1 species
GAGAUUGUAGCUCCAUGGUAGAGCACUUGUCCAGCAUGCAGGAUGCCCUGGGUUCAAUCCCAGCAUCA